AGAGUUCCUCUCCCUUCUUAUGAAUAUUCUGUUGUGAUGCCUCCUCUUUAUGCUCUGUACCCAAUCGUUGUUCCUCUUUCCCAAAACUCCUCCCCUUAUUCACCAUACUCUGGAAAGUUCUCCUAGCUCCCCUAUAAAAGGCGGAGCCAUGUUAAUGAAGUGGUUCACUGUUUUCUAGUCUGUUAUGUGUGUCGAACUGUGAGUGAACUUCCCCGUGUCCAUAUCUGGGCUGUGUUACACAGAUGCUCUUCCCUAUGUUUCCCAAGUUCCUGCUGAGCCCCGUGAGGAAGGAGUGUGUGCCUCCUGGCAGAGAUGAGGCUGUUUGGCCAUUUGGGCGUGUUCAAAUUUGGAGGAAAGGUAAAAUCUUCACACUGCAAAGAAGCUUUUAGGAAACACAUCUUGCUGACAAGAUGAUAAAAGGUAGCGUGGUGUGUGUGCCUUGAUAAAACAGGAGCUUUACCUCCAGAGGU